rnacentral:rRNA from 1 species
GGACGAACGCUGGCGGCGUGCCUAAUCCAUGCAAGUAGAACGCUGAAGAGAGGAGCUUCCUCUUCUUGGAUGAGUUGCGAACGGGUGAGUAACGCGUAGGUAACCUGCCUUGUAGCGGGGGAUAACUAUUGGAAACGAUAGCUAAUACCGCAUAACAAUGGAUGACACAUGUCAUUUAUUUGAAAGGGGCAAUUGCUCCACUACAAGAUGGACCUGCGUUGUAUUAGCUAGUAGGUGAGGUAAUGGCUCACCUAGGCGACGAUACAUAGCCGACCUGAGAGGGUGAUCGGCCACACUGGGACUGAGACACGGCCCAGACUCCUACGGGAGGCAGCAGUAGGGAAUCUUCGGCAAUGGGGGCAACCCUGACCGAGCAACGCCGCGUGAGUGAAGAAGGUUUUCGGAUCGUAAAGCUCUGUUGUAAGUCAAGAACGGGUGUGAGAGUGGAAAGUUCACACUGUGACGGUAGCUGACCAGAAAGGGACGGCUAACUACGUG